rnacentral:rRNA from 1 species
GUUUGAUCAUGGCUCAGAACGUACGCUGGCGGCACGCCUAACACAUGCAAGUCGAGCGGGGUAGCAAUACCUAGCGGCAGACGGGUGCGUAACAUGUGGGAAUCUGCCUUUUGGUUCGGAACAACAUGGGGAAACCUGUGCUAAUACCGGAUAAGUCCUAACGGAGAAAGUUUUAAUGCCAAAAGAUGAGCCCGCAUUUGAUUAGCUUGUUGGUGAGGUAAAAGCUCACCAAGGCUAUAAUCAAUAGCUGAUUUGAGAGGAUGAUCAGCCACACUGGGACUGAGAUACGGCCCAGACUCCUACGGGAGGCAGCAGUGGGGAAUCUUGCACAAUGGGCGAAAGCCUGAUGCAGCGAUGCCGCGUGAGUGAAGAAGGCCUUUGGGUUGUAAAGCUCUUUUGUCGGGAAAGAUAAUGACUGUACCCGAAGAAUAAGGUCCGGCUAACUUCGUGCCAGCAGCCGCGGUAAUACGAAGGGACCUAGCGUAGUUCGGAAUUACUGGGCUUAAAGAGUUCGUAGGUGGUUGAAAAAGUUGGUGGUGAAAUCCCAGAGCUUAACUCUGGAACUGCCAUCAAAACUUUUCAGCUAGAGUAUGAUAGAGGAAAGCAGAAUUUCUAGUGUAGAGGUGAAAUUCGUAGAUAUUAGAAAGAAUACCAAUUGCGAAGGCAGCUUUCUGGAUCAUUACUGACACUGAGGAACGAAAGCAUGGGUAGCGAAGAGGAUUAGAUACCCUCGUAGUCCAUGCCGUAAACGAUGUGUGUUAGACGUUGGAAAUUUAUUUUCAGUGUCGCAGGGAAACCGAUAAACACACCGCCUGGGGAGUACGACCGCAAGGUUAAAACUCAAAUGAAUUGACGGGGACCCGCACAAGUAGUGGAGCAUGUGGUUUAAUUCGAAAAUACGCGCAGAACCUUACCAACACUUGACAUGUUCGUCGCGACUCUAAGAGAUUAGAGUUUUCGGUUCGGCCGGACGAAACACAGGUGCUGCAUGGCUGUCGUCAGCUCGUGUCGUGAGAUGUUGGGUUAAGUCCCGCAACGAGCGCAACCCUCACUUUUAGUUGCCAUCAUUAAGUUGGGCACUCUGAAAGAACUGCCAGUGAUAAGCUGGAGGAAGGUGGGGAUGACGUCAAGUCCUCAUGGCCCUUACGUGUUGGGCUACACACGUGCUACAAUGGCAUCUACAACAGGAAGCAAAACGGCAACGUUAAGCAAAUCCCGAAAAGAUGCCUCAGUUCGGAUUGCACUCUGCAACUCGAGUGCAUGAAGCUGGAAUUACUAGUAAUCGUGGAUCAGCGUGCCACGGUGAAUGCGUUCCCGGGUCUUGUACACACCGCCCGUCACACCAUGGGAGUUGGUUCUACCUUAAGGCAAGGUUUUAAACCCUUGACCACGGUAUAGUCAGCGACUGGGGUGAAGUCGUAACAAGGUAGCCGUCCCUAUAGUGAGUCGU